rnacentral:lncRNA from 1 species
CUUAGCAUAACACGAGCAAUAUCCUAAAUUGUCCUAUUGUUACUCUUAGUAAUCUCGUUCUGUUAUGGAGUUUUUGGACCAAAAAACUCAUGUUGAAUGUCGUAUUGUCAAAAAUAUAUGAGAAUUAUUCAUUCUCAAAUUCCUCUACUUGGUCAUGCAUCCUAACAAUUUUCCCAAUAAGAUAACAUUUUUCAUUCUCAGCUUUUUUACACAGUUUCUUGAAGGC